rnacentral:rRNA from 1 species
CCUACGGGAGGCAGCAGUGGGGGAUAUUGCACAAUGGAGGGAACCCUGAUGCAGCGACGCCGCGUGGGUGAAGAAGCGCCUCGGCGCGUAAAGCCCUGUCAGCAGGGAAGAAAAUGACGGUACCUGAAGAAGAAGCCCCGGCUAACUACGUUCCAGCAGCCGCGGUAAUACGUAGGGGGCAAGCGUUAUCCGGAUUUACUGGGUGUAAAGGGGGCGCAGACGGCGAUGCAAGCCAGGAGUGAAAGCACGGGGCCCAACCCCGGGACUGCUCUUGAAACUGCGUGGCUGGAGUGCAGGAGGGGCAGGCGGAAUUCCUGGUGUAGCGGUGAAAUGCGUAGAUAUUAGGAGGAACACCAGUGGCGAAGGCGGCUUACUGGACAGUAACUGACGUUGAGGCUCGAAAGCGUGGGGAGCAAACAGGAUUAGAUACCCGAGUAGUC